AACGAACGCUGGCGGCAUGCCUAACACAUGCAAGUCGAACGAACCCUUCGGGGUUAGUGGCGCACGGGUGCGUAACGCGUGGGAAUCUGCCCUUUGCUUCGGAAUAACAGUUAGAAAUGACUGCUAAUACCGGAUGAUGUCUUCGGACCAAAGAUUUAUCGGCAAGGGAUGAGCCCGCGUAGGAUUAGGUAGUUGGUGGGGUAAAGGCCUACCAAGCCGACGAUCCUUAGCUGGUCUGAGAGGAUGAUCAGCCACACUGGGACCGAGACACGGCCCAGACUCCUACGGGAGGCAGCAGUGGGGAAUAUUGGACAAUGGGCGCAAGCCUGAUCCAGCAAUGCCGCGUGAGUGAUGAAGGCCUUCGGGUCGUAAAGCUCUUUUACCAGGGAUGAUAAUGACAGUACCUGGAGAGUAAGCUCCGGCUAACUCCGUGCCAGCCGCCGCGGUAAGAC
rnacentral:rRNA from 1 species